AAGACUGACAAAAAUUGGACUCUCAAACAAGGAUGAGGUUUAUCUUCCCCUUGAUAAUCCAUCAGGAAACAUCACAGGCACUAUACGCAGAAAACCACGAGCCAAAAUGUAGAGAAAGACAACAUUCACAAACCAGACAUCUCAUACAAACAAACCCUAUAAAAGCAAUUUCAAGUUAGGCACUAGCAUGAUUAUCUGUCUAAACAUUCAACAAACUUGAUUUUUUAAAAUUAGAAA